rnacentral:lncRNA from 1 species
CAACUGAUUUUAUUUAAUGGGCAUUUUUGUGCUGUUGUUUUUCUUUUUAGAUUUUGUUGAGCUGAUCCAAGAUAACUUGUGACUGCUGGCUUGAACCAAGAUUCUUCAUCUUGUCUCUAAACGAGGAAAUAUUGAUUGGGAGCUACUCAUUCAGAAAAUUAAAAGGUACCACACGUUUUGUUUGAAUGUUUAUAUGAGGGAAAAUCAGGGAGGAAUUGAAAUGUUUUUGUUUAAAUUA